GCCUGGCCAUUCUUUGAAUCACAGGCUACAGCUCAUGUCAGCAGCUUGUGCAUGCUGUUCCCUCUGCCUCCCACACUCUGCAUCCAGAAGCCUGCACCCCUUGCUCCUUCCUGCCUCUUAGGUCUCAGUUCCGAAGGCAGGAAGAUAAGCUCCAGGAGAAUAAGAACUUGGUCUUAAUCGCUGUUGAUUCUUCAGCCUUGAAAUGCUGCCUGUCAGUUCUCGGCGGACACAACAUCUUUGUUGGUAUGCGGUGCUG